rnacentral:rRNA from 1 species
UACGUAGGUGGCAAGCGUUGUCCGGAUUUACUGGGCGUAAAGAGCGCGCAGGCGGUCGUUCAAGUCGCGUGUGAAAGCCCCCGGCUCAACUGGGGAGGGUCACGCGAUACUGAUCGACUCGAAGGCAGGAGAGGGUAGUGGAAUUCCCGGUGUAGUGGUGAAAUGCGUAGAUAUCGGGAGGAACACCGGUGGCGAAGGCGGGUCUCUGGGCAAUUCCUGACGCUGAGGCGCGAAAGCGUGGGGAGCAAACGGG